CCUACGGGCGGCUGCAGUGGGGAAUAUUGGACAAUGGGGGCAACCCUGAUCCAGCCAUGCCGCGUGUGUGAAGAAGGCCCUCGGGUUGUAAAGCACUUUCAGUGAGGAAGAACGCCUGGUGGUUAAUACCCAUCAGGAAAGACAUCACUCACAGAAGAAGCACCGGCUAACUCCGUGCCAGCAGCCGCGGUAAUACGGAGGGUGCGAGCGUUAAUCGGAAUUACUGGGCGUAAAGCGCGCGUAGGUGGCUUGAUAAGCCGGUUGUGAAAGCCCCGGGCUCAACCUGGGAACGGCAUCCGGAACUGUCAAGCUAGAGGGCAGGAGAGGAAGGUAGAAUUCCCGGUGUAGCGGUGAAAUGCGUAGAGAUCGGGAGGAAUACCAGUGGCGAAGGCGGCCUUCUGGACUGACACUGACACUGAGGUGCGAAAGCGUGGGUAGCAAACAGGAUUAGAUACCCUUGUAGUC
rnacentral:rRNA from 1 species